CACUGCGUCACCUCACUGCGUCACACACUCGCUGCACCACCUCACUGCGUCACCUCACUGCGUCAUUCACUGUGUCACCCCACCGAGUCACCUCACUGCCUCACGCACCGUGUCACCCACUGCGCCACCCACCGCAGCCGCCGCUCUCGAAGCAGCACAUUGUCGUGCUCAACGCAGGGAGUCUCGGCAGCGCGCGCCCGCGUGAGAUGGCUGGGAAGAUGCCGGCGUCCGUUUGGCCCGUUCGAAUGCCCCGCUGCUGUCGCGGAGUGGAAAUCCAAGGCACCUCUGAACCGCUGCGGGGAGUUGGCCCCUCCGGAAGCGACGGCGGACUAGGGCGAGGAGGCACGGGCUGAGGCACUGAUUCGCACUUUCUAAAAGGAAGUGUUGGCAGACAAGCGCCUUUAUGUGCAGGACCCCUCAGUGUUUGUUUUGGAGACUGUUUGUUCCAGAAACUUUGAAGAAAAUAUGCCUGGGACCAAACACUCUACAAUGACCUGUUACAGCCCCUGGUAGGCUCACUUCUGGACUUGAGGGCUAUGAUUUUGAUUUUCUUUUUUUAUGUUGGAAUCUGAGUGAUGAAGUGGCCGAAUGUUUCCUGUCCUGCAAAGCUCUUCCUUCUGAGCAUGGCAAUGCUCCCCUCAAUUUGUUCCUUGCCUUAGAGACUGAGGUUUGAUAACCUCGCAAGAAAUUCCAUCAUCCACAAGUCUGUAAUGACAUGGGCCUUGCAGAAUGCCCAUCUCCAAUGACAUAAUAUAUUUUACAUUUUGUCAUGCAAGUAGGAUGUUAGGAAGCGGAAGUGCUAGAAUCAGAGCCCGCCCAGGUGUCGCUCCAGAGCCCAAACGCUUGCCACCACUCCACCCCUCCUGCUGGGAAAACAGCACUGAGGGGCUUGAGAACGCGCCCAAAAGGCAGAGUCCCGCACCCACUGCAAGGUUCUCCAAACUCUCGGUUAAAGAAGAAAAGACAUACGUGUGAAACUGGUCAAACGCAACAUAGGCAACAGGAUGUGGGAGGCAGAUGUAAAGCCUGGAGCCUCAGCAGCCAUCUUAAACCAUAAGGUGGAAGAAACCUCCUGUGGAUGUCAGGGCAGAGAGAGAGAGCAACUUGAGUCAUUAAUGACAUUAUGGAGACACUAUUUCACCCACAGAUAUUUUAAAAUUUGAGAGAGAAACAAAUAUCUAUCCUUGGUAUUUUUUUUUUCUGACUAUAUAAAAUACAACAUUGUCCUGAAUGUUAGAAGAGAUGUCAUCAAGUUGGGGGGUCAGCAGCACAAAAAGAGGUAAGAAAUGUGAAAGCCAAACUUCCCAUCUUUUACAGUUUAUUCAAUCCUGUCUGACAGCAGGACAUUAGGUUUCUUUACCCAGAAAACUAGCUCCUCCCUGCCAAUAUCCCUAGGAGUUUUAGCUCUAUUAAUUCUACUUCUGAUUUUUCCAAAGUUUGUGGCAUCUCUGGUUCUCUCAAAGAGUGUUGUAACAUCCAAGAAGAAGAUGAGUUUAGUUUGAUUUUAAACGUAAGUAUUUUAUAACAUUUGGAAUGUAAGAAUGGGAUUGGAGAAAUUUUUCUACAGUGGCCAAGACAGCAACCAGUGUUAGAGAAACGCUUCCCUGAAACGAUGAGAACACAAGACUCCGGGAGGGCGCGGGCGGCCGGUGGGUGCCGGGAGGCACUGUCCUUUCCCCUCAGUGUCCCGGCGAGGCUGCCCGGUGACAGCUCGGCCUCCCCCGAGGCUCUCCACGCCUGGUCUAUCACGCACCAGGCAGGCAACUGGCCGACCGCCCCGGGGACCCGUCUCGGAGACAAGAAGAGAGACGCCUUCGGCACCCCUGCUGUCGUUCCCAGGUGGUGAGAAUUUUCAGUCUGAUCCAAAGAAUGAUCACUAUUCUCUCCCACAAAAAAAAGGAAGAAGAAGAAGAAGAAGAAGAAGGAAGAAGAAGGAAGAAGAAGGAAGAAGGAAGAAGAAGGAAG